CCGCGGUAAUACGGAGGGUGCAAGCGUUAAUCGGAAUUACUGGGCGUAAAGCGUGCGUAGGCGGUUUAUUAAGUCAGAUGUGAAAGCCCCGGGCUUAACCUGGGAACUGCAUUUGAAACUGGUCAACUAGAGUAUGGCAGAGGAAAGUGGAAUUUCUGGUGUAGCGGUGAAAUGCGUAGAUAUCAGAAGGAACAUCAAUGGCGAAGGCAGCUUUCUGGACCAAUACUGACGCUGAGGUACGAAAGCGUGGGUAGCAAACAGGAUUAGAUACCCUGGUAGUCCACGCCGUAAACGAUGAUAACUAGCCGUUGGGGGGAUUUACCCCUUAGUGGCGAAGCUAACGCGUUAAGUUAUCCGCCUGGGGAGUACGGCCGCAAGGCUAAAACUCAAAGGAAUUGACGGGGACCCGCACAAGCGGUGGAGCAUGUGGUUUAAUUCGAUGCAACGCGAAGAACCUUACCUGGUCUUGACAUCCUGCGAACUUUCUAGAAAUAGAUUGGUGCCUUCGGGAACGCAGUGACAGGUGCUGCAUGGCUGUCGUCAGCUCGUGUCGUGAGAUGUUGGGUUAAGUCCCGUAACGAGCGCAACCCCUAUCCUUAUUUGCCAGCACAUUAUGGUGGGAACUAUAAGGAGACUGCCGGUGAUAAACCGGAGGAAGGCGGGGACGACGUCAAGUCAUCAUGGCCCUUACGACCAGGGCUACACACGUGCUACAAUGGGAAGGACAAAGAGCCGCGAAGCCGCGAGGUGUAGCUAAUCUCACAAAUCUUUUCGUAGUCCGGAUUGGAGUCUGCAACUCGACUCCAUGAAGUCGGAAUCGCUAGUAAUCGUAGAUCAGAAUGCUACGGUGAAUACGUUCCCGGGUCUUGUACACACCGCCCGUCAUACCAUGGGAGUGGGUUGCACCAGAAGUGGCUAGUCUAACUU
rnacentral:rRNA from 1 species